GUGGUUGUUUUCGGACGUGGGGAGUUACACUUAUUGAUACUAAAAUAUUAUGUUCAAUGCUGAGGAAAAGCUGUAAGAAUUCUCAGGUUUCCGACUUUGUCUAAAGGCGCUUUGCAUUGUUGGCUGUGUCUAGGAACUGCUACCAAUGGCGGAUUUCCGGCUUUGAAGAAGGCUAAUGACGCUACGCCAUUCGUGGAGCUUUUGAAACAACGUAACAUCAUUCCUGGCAUCAAGGUUGAUAAGGGUGUCGUGCCACUCUUUGCUACAAACGAU
rnacentral:lncRNA from 1 species